rnacentral:snRNA from 1 species
GGAUGUGAGGGCAAUCUGGCUGCGACAUUUGUCACCCCAUUGAUCGCCAGGGUUGAUUCGGCUGAUCUGGCUGGCUAGGCGGGUGUCCCCUUCCUCCCUCACCGCUCCAUGUGCGUCCCUCCCAAAGCUGCGCACUCAGUCGAAGAGGACAACCUUCCCCGAUAGAGGAGGACCGUUCUUGGGUCAAGGGUAUACGAGUAGCUGCGCUCCCCUGCUAGAACCUCCAAACAAGCUCUCAAAAUGUCCAUAUUAGGGGCCAGCCCCAUGGCCAAGUGGGUAAGUUCGUGCACUCCAUUUUGGGAGCCCAGGAUU